AACGAACGCUGGCGGCAGGCCUAACACAUGCAAGUCGAGCGAGCAUUUCGGUGCUAGCGGCGGACGGGUGAGUAACGCGUGGGAACGUGCCCUUUUCUGCGGAAUAGUCCUGGGAAACUGGGGGUAAUACCGCAUACGCCCUUUUGGGGAAAGAUUUAUCGGGGAAGGAUCGGCCCGCGUUGGAUUAGGUGGUUGGUGGGGUAAUGGCCCACCAAGCCGACGAUCCAUAGCUGGUUUGAGAGGAUGAUCAGCCACACUGGGACUGAGACACGGCCCAGACUCCUACGGGAGGCAGCAGUGGGGAAUCUUAGACGAUGGGGGCAACCCUGAUCUAGCCAUGCCGGGUGAGUGAUGAAGGCCUUAGGGUUGUAAAGCUCUUUCAGCUGGGAAGAUAAUGACGGUACCAGCAGAAGAAGCCCCGGCUAACUCCGUG
rnacentral:rRNA from 1 species